UUGGGCUUGGCUUCCCCAAAAAGGUGCUGUCUGUAGGUGCUGAUUUUUUAAUUUAUUUUUGUUAGCAUGCUAAUUCUUGAGAUUUGUGAGUUUUUAGAGAUGCAAGUAAAAUAAUUUAUGCCUAACAUGAUGACCUGACACAGAUAAAAUUACUUCAAACAUGAGUUGGGGUUUCUUUCUUUAAUUUUAGCCAAGAGGAAUCUGUGAUGUCUAAACUACAGUGUAUAAGAUGGGCUAACUUGUUUCUUUGAUAUGUCUAGGUUUAGGAGCUGAAAUUUUGGAUAGUCAUCUCCAAGGCUAAGUAAGAGUAAGAGUGGUAACUGUGCUGCUGAUUUAAAAAGUGAUGUAACAAUUGUGAUUUGAGGAGCAGUGACAGCAGCUCGCCCAUCCUAACUCUGGUGCUUUAUUAAAGGCUGAAGCAAACAUGCAAACCUAGACAAGCUCAGCAAAUAAAUAGCCAGCAAUGGUAUUUGUUUGAUCCAAAAUCCCUUUGGAAUUUUUUAAAUAAAAAAUGCUAACACAGCACCUUUAGAACUGUGGGGUUUGCUACAGCUGAUGUAGUUUGCAUGGGGGUGGAAUGAAAAGCCCAAAUCAGAGAAACAUCCAAAAGGCCACACUUUAAAUUUCUGUCCUUUCUUCUGUAGAGCUUGAAUUUGCAGAGUUCAAACUACUUGGAAGUAAACUCUUUGUUGCAGCUGUUCUGUGUUUGUUAUCCUGGCCUGUGACUGAGGCUCCUGUGUGCUUUCUUUCUGCUCUCUGCCCCUGUGUGGGGGAGGUCAGAGCAUGGUUCCACAGUCCAUCUCCUUGCUUAACCUUUCUCUUAGCUCUGCCACCAGGCUGGAUAGAUCAUUCACGGGGUCACAUCUUGCACAGCUUUCAUCUCUCCUGCUGUCCAAUACCACUGCCAGGUUCUGGUGUUCCCUGCAGUCUGAGAUUUUGGCAUCUGCAUAUUUUCCUGAGGGCUCCAUUGUGAGUUAUCUGAGCCUGGUUAAAUGAGGAUACUUCAGACUAGAACCACUUUAAACUUAUCCUGUAGUACAGAAACAUCCCUGACACUCCUGAACAAAUGAGGAAAAAAAAAAAAAAACAGACCUGCACUUUAUAAGCACUCUUGGAUGACACAUACAAAAGUGCACACAGGUAUUUUCACUAUAAAAAAGAGAGUUCAAACUGACCAAGAAAUAGAUAAAACCAGUAAUCUUCAGGAUGCUACCUGCAGUAAAGAUUAUGUAUUGUAGAUUACAAUCUAUGCUAAAAAGGGUAUCUUCUUUGCUAUGGCAAAAGAAUGGUUGAACCUUCCACAUUUCCAAGCUCACAUGCAGGCAUGAUAAAAUCUUAACAACAUGCCAUUAAAUAUGCCUUUACAACAACUAUUCUGCCUUGCCUGGAUAUAUCUGUGAAUCCACCCUUUGAACUGGAGAUUAAAUGAACUCCCUGGACAGCUGAGAAGAAUUAAAGUAUGACCUGAUAGUUUCUCUGCUUGACAAUAAUAUUGUCUGUCAGUUUGUGCUGUAUCCAAGAUACUGCUCUCUGCUCCAUGCUCAGAAAGCAGAUAUUGAUGGGUUUAGCUGAUUAACAUCUCUAUAUCAUUUGGCCUUUCAGUCUCAAAAUACAUUUUAUAAAAAUGUUACAGCAGAUGCUUUCUGGACUAUGCACAAUGGUGCUCAAUGCAAAUAUUUCCAUGUAUCCCCCAGCUAAAGCCUUGAAACUUUUUUCUCUCUCAAACAAACAGCAGUGCUGUCAAGUUUGGCCAUGGAAGCUCAACAUUUUGACUGGGACAGGGUUUGCACCUUAUUAGAAGAUAUGGGAAGGUUGUCUGACCAUUCCAAGCCUCUCUUACAGGACAGAACACCAGCUUCUAGCUGGUCUAAAUGCAGAUAUGCUGACAGCCCAGUAAUUUUGGGUAAAGCAUCUGGACAGGUGAUAACACAGGGAAGGAGCUCUCUGCUCCAUGCUUUGAAACAUAUUGAUGCUUCUUAAAAAUAACCAUGGUCUUACCUGUCACACAAGUGGAAUAGCCAAAUGUUAGUUUAGUGUUCAUCAAGUUGUGAGAAGGGAGAAGCUGUGGGUGUCCCUUUGGAAAAGGAUAGAGCAAAGCUGGACAUGGGGUUGCUCAUGGGGCACAGCCUGCUCCCUGCCCUGAGAUGCCUAUAAGAAAAUGUUUGCUCACACAUUGUUUAUUUAAUAAAACCUUCAGACCUUUCAUUUAUUUAAACCUUACACCAAAAUCACCCGGAAUUCCUUUAAAAACCAGUAUUUUGCCAGUAAGUGAAAGGAGCAGGUAACUGUGAUGUGUCCCACAGGAACCACCACUCACCUCCAAGGCUGGUGAGGAGAGAGGGGGGAAUGCAGAUUUGGAGAAACCAAGCAGCUUCUGAGGAGAGAUCACAGAUGGAUUUAACAUCCAUUACCUUUCUUAUUGUAAACAGAUGGCCCAAUCCCAAAAGUAAGGGAGUGCAUCCGUUUUCAGAAUUAGGAUCUGUGUGCCAAAAGUAAAAUUCACACUUCCCAUGAACAGAAAAAUAGUGAUAGCAUCCUCAGAGAUUUCCCCUCCUCAACCAGUCUAUGGAAAAGGGAUGGAAAUUUCAGGAAAGAGGAAAUAGGUAGCAGCUGAAAUCCCUCCAGCCCCUGGAUCUAGCAGAGCUGAAAAGCUGAGCAUCACCCACUGCUAAUGACUCAGACUGGCUCUGCAGGAGCUGAGGAUGAAAGGCACAGCCAUGAAAUGCCCAGGUCCUGCACUAACCACAGGACAGCUGGGGAGUGAUUUGGGCACUGCUGAGGCUCCUCCCAACAUCAGCACUUGGCCCCACACCUCGGGAGAGACCCAGGGCAGAGGGUGAGGGAGGAGGCAGCCGUGGUGUUCUGGCUCCUGCCUGAUUUCAGUUUAUGGCCAAGGUGUACUGUUCCACCUUCCUGGAGCCUGCAGAUGGAACCUGAGUGGAAAGCAGUGAAAAGAGGAUAAAGUAGCCACAAAGAGUGUGGUGGCAUAACACAGAUGAUGAAAUAUAACCAUGGUUGCAUAAGAAUGAUAUAUGUUCUAGUGAUUCAUUAUAACAAUGAAUUAAGGCUGGAGUGAAAAUACAUAAAUUCUCCUCUUUUUAAUUUCUUUUUUUUUUUUUUCCAUUAACUUCUGCUGGCUUGGGAGCCAUUCCUGUACACACUUCCAAAUGCCAUAAAGUCAUUUAUGCACCACUGGGAAUUAUUUUAGAUAUUCAGGCCCAUGUUACUACAAACUGCAAGUUGAUGACCAAACAAUAGCUUUGGAAUCCAAUUUAAAUUGGCCAUUUUAGCACAAAGCUACACACUUUUGUUAUUGCAAGUGGAUAGAGGAGUUAUUCUCCAUUGUAAAACAAAUUAUGUUUUGUUUAUCUAGCAUUUAAAUCUCCAGUGUUAAAGGAAUAAAAAAAAAAAUCACAAAAACCUGAGGUAACAAACUAAGCAACAACAUAGAUCGGUGUUUUCCUCCAGCAUGAUGAUUUUAAAGCACCUUUUUUCCUCCAUUUUCAGACACAUUCUAACCUUUCAUUGCAAACUGCUCAUAUUUGAAUUUAUCUUUCUUAGCUAUAGCUGAUCAAAACUGGAGAGAGUAUUGCAGAUGAGGUCUAAGUAGUACCCUGUAAAAUGGCAUGAACUCUCCCUCAUCCUUACUUAAAGUAACCUGUCAGAGGCAUUUUUGGAUUGGCAUUGCCUUUUCACAGCACUGGUGGCUCUCAAUUGUCCAUGGCCAACACCCCCAGAUCCUUCUGAGCAUCAGUCAGCCCUCGCUAAUGAGCUCCCACUGUAGAGCAAGAAUUGAUGACAGCCCCCAGUCCCAUUUACCCUCUGUACUGCGGUGUGGGCAGACAGUGCUAAAGGCAGCCUGGCCUCUUACCCAGUGCAGCUGUGGUAAUUACCACAGAGUGGGAACAGCCUUGCCCUCCCAGCUGGGGAGGAGAUAAAGGAGUGAGUGAGCUGCGAGGGAGCGAGUUGGGGUUUGCUGGCCGUGCUGGGAGGAGGCAGGGACAGGAGAGAGGCUGAGGUGACAUAUGAAGGAUGGUCAGGGUUAGGUGGCCGUGCUGGGGACAGGAAGGAGCCAGCUGGAACUGCAGAAGGAAGAGAGAAGAAGGAGAGAAAGAACCAGAGCUGUGUGGAGCUGCCCACGGGAGGCUGCAUAGAAAAGCUCAUCUUGCCACUGGCUGGAAAUCCCCACGUGCAGAAGAAAUUUCUUCAUCCCCCAGCUUUGUCCCUGGUCAUGUAAUACACACACUUUAAUCUGGAGGAAGCCCAAGAGAGAGGAGCUCGAAAGCAAAUAUCCCUGCCCUGCUGGCUUUUGCUGUUUUCUGCUGUUUGCACUACUGAGGCAAGUGCAAAGUCUAGCAGUGCUGGUUUGUUGGAUCAGGAGACUGAUAACAGCAGGGCAGACACCCCUCUUGUCUCCCCCAGGCUUUCACAAGUGUCAGCCCCAAAACAAUUUGCAGAAGUUGACAGCUCCAACUUGCUGAUUAAGCUGAAACUCAAGUGUUUCUAACUUUUGUUUAGUGUCUAAUUUGUGCCAGAUAUUGCCUGUUUUGCAGAGCCAGAUGCCAGCUGGAAAUGGGAUGUCCCAAACUCCACAAGUCAAUGUUUUCCUUGUGCUGUUUCAUGCAGAAAAAAGCACUGCACAGGAGAACCUCCUUUGAGGUGCAGACAGUGCUCCAGGUGUCUUCAGAGCACAGGUUGAGGUGAUUGGGUAUUACUGCUGUAAAUCAGACCUUCCAAGCAGCUGCCAUUUCUUUAUAGCUCUCCCCUGAACUCUUGACUCUUUU